UAUGUGCUAGGGAGGAACCUGAACAGCAAACGCCCGCGUGGGUGAUGAAGGCCUUCGGGUCGUAAAGCUCUGUCUGGAGGGAAGAAAUGAUUGUCGGUUAAUACGUGAAUUCCUUGACGGUACCUCUUGCAUAAGCCCCGGCUAACUCCGUGGCGGCAGCCGUGGUAAUAAUGAGGGGGCAAGCGUGGUUCGGAAUUAUUGGGCGUAAAGCGCGUGUAGGCCGCCUUUCAGGUCUGAUGUGAAAUCCCCGGGCUUAACCCGGGAAGUGCGUUGGAAACCGUUGGGCUUGAGUCUGGGAGAGGAGAGCGGAAUUCCUGGUGUAAGAACAAAAUCCGUAGAUAGCAGGAGGAACACCGGUGGCGAAGGCGGCUCUCUGGACCGAUACUGACGCUGAGACGCGAAAGCGUGGGUAGCAAACAGGAUUAGAUACCCUGGUAGUCCACGCCGUAAACCAUCAGCACUAGGUGUUGCGGAAAUUGACUUCUGCUGUGCCGCCGCUAACGCAUUAAGUACUCCGCCUGGGAACUACUCACGCGAGUGUAAAACUCAAAUGAAUUGACGGCU
rnacentral:rRNA from 1 species